rnacentral:snoRNA from 1 species
CCAAAGUGUUGAGUUCAGUUCAGGGUGUUGCCCCUGUUCUGGUAAUUCAGCUUUGGAACAGUGAGUGACUGAGAAGUGCACUAUGGUGACUGAAAGUUUGUUUUAUGCCACCUGUGUUUCUCAGCCUACAAAC